GGUCUUAUAGUUUAAUAAAAAUAUUAGAUUGCAAAUCUUAAGUUGUUCUAUUUCUAAGACUU
rnacentral:tRNA from 1 species